rfam:Triticum aestivum genome assembly, contig: Triticum_aestivum_CS42_TGACv1_scaffold_487837_6AS
UACAUACUUCUUCCGUUCGGAAAUACUUUUCAUCAAGAUGAAUAAAAAUAGAUGUAUCUAGAUGUAUUUUAGUUCUAGAUACAUCCUUUUUUAUCAAUUUGGAUGAUAAGUAUUUCCGGACGAAGGGAGCAGUAG